GGGAUUGUGGCUCAGCGGUAGAGCACUCGCCUAGCAUGCGUAGGGCUCUGAGUUCCAUCCUCAGCACCA
rnacentral:tRNA from 1 species